AACACCUGGAUGAAGUUGGAGGAAAGCUCAUACUUAGUGGCCGCUCUGGAAGAUAAAGAAAAUCCAGAAGGGAAGGGAGAAAUGGAUGAAUUGCUCUAUGUCAUACAAGGGAAUUCACAAGGCUGCAGUUGUGCAUGUACCUGCCUGUUAUCCAAGCCUAUGGAGCCAUGCAUGAAAGAUUCAGCUUCCUCUUACCUCCACGUUGCUGUGGAAAGUGGAAGUAUUGUGAGCUUUGUAGUCCGGGAUGUGUCUGCUGAUACAGCUGUACCAGUCAUCCCUUUCCAAGCAAG